UUUCUACAACCUUAUUGUCCACUACGCGUCCGCUUCUUAAGGUAGUCAUAGCAUUAGCUUGUUCAUGGUGAACAUCAUUCGGGUGAGUCUCUUGAGCCAUGUACUGCCUUCUCGGGUUACUCACUGGUUGGCUUGGAAGCUUGCCUUCCUCUCUUUUAUUUAGUGCACUCGCUAGCUGCCCUAGCUGGGUUUCUAAUUUGGCAAUAGACUGGGUGUGGGAGUGCAACAAUUGUGUAUUGGCUUCGAGUUCUUGAAGGGUAGUCAAAACUUUUUGCUCAAAAGCCAUAU
rnacentral:lncRNA from 1 species